rnacentral:rRNA from 1 species
AAAGGUGAAAUUAAAUUGUUUUUAUUUAAAAAAUUACUUAAAUUGAAACUGAAAAUUUUUAGAGUUAAACUAGGAUUAGAUACCCUAUUAUACUAAGAAGUAGUUUUAAGCCUGAUUAGUAAAAGUUAUAUUCUUAAAAUUUAAAGAAUUUGGCGGUGAUUUAGUCUUGUCAGAGGAACCUGUUUUUGAAUCGAUAAACCACGAAGAAUCUUUCUCGAGCUUAUAUACCAUCAUUAUUAGAUAAUUUUAAAAGGAUAAAUUGUUUUAAUUUAUAAUAUUUAAGUAAAAUUAGAUCAAGGUGUAGCUUAUAAAUGAGUUAAAAUGGGUUACAAUAAAAUUUUAUUUAUAAUGGAAUAAUUAUUAUAAAAGUGGAUUUGAUUGUAUAUAAGUUUAAUAUGCUUAUAAGAUAUAAGCUCUAAAUUAUGUACAUAUCGCCCGUCGCUUUC